UACGGAGGGUGCAAGCGUUAUCCGGAUUUAUUUGGUUUAAAGGGUCCGUGGGCGGAUCUGUAAGUCAGUGGUGAAAUCUCACAGCUUAACUGUGAAACUGCCAUUGAUACUGCAGGUCUUGAGUGAGGUAGAAGUAGCUGGAAUAAGUAGUGUAGCGGUGAAAUGCAUAGAUAUUACUUAGAACACCAAUUGCGAAGGCAGGUUACUAUGUCUUAACUGACGCUGAUGGACGAAAGCGUGGGGAGCGAACAGG
rnacentral:misc_RNA from 1 species